GGGAGCGGAGCCGGGCCGGUGCCCGGCCUCGUCUUCAAAACGAGUGGCGCGCCGCCCAGGCGUCGCGCGGUGGGUUCGACUCCCAUGCGCUCCCGCCA
rnacentral:tRNA from 1 species